rnacentral:rRNA from 1 species
UACGUAGGGUGCGAGCGUUAAUCGGAAUCACUGGGCGUAAAGGGCGUGUAGGCGGUCCGCUAAGUCUGAUGUGAAAGCCCCGAGGCUUACCCUCGGAAGUGCAUUGGAGACUGGCGGACUGGAGUCCCGGAGAGGAGGGUGGAAUCCUGGUGUAGCGGUGAAAUGCGUAGAUAUCGGGAGGAACACCUGUGGCGAAGGCGGCCCCCCUGGUUGGAUACUGACGCUGAUACGCGAGCGUGGGGAGCGA